UGGGGAAUUUUGGACAAUGGGCGAAAGCCUGAUCCAGCAAUGCCGCGUGUGUGAAGAAGGCCUUCGGGUUGUAAAGCACUUUUGUCCGGAAAGAAAUCCUUGGCUCUAAUACAGUCGGGGGAUGACGGUACCGGAAGAAUAAGCACCGGCUAACUACGUGCCAGCAGCCGCGGUAAUACGUAGGGUGCAAGCGUUAAUCGGAAUUACUGGGCGUAAAGCGUGCGCAGGCGGUUUGCUAAGACCGAUGUGAAAUCCCCGGGCUCAACCUGGGAACUGCAUUGGUGACUGGCAGGCUAGAGUAUGGCAGAGGGGGGUAGAAUUCCACGUGUAGCAGUGAAAUGCGUAGAGAUGUGGAGGAAUACCGAUGGCGAAGGCAGCCCCCUGGGCCAAUACUGACGCUCAUGCACGAAAGCGUGGGGAGCAAACAGGAUUAGAUACCCUGGUAGUCCACGCCCUAAACGAUGUCAACUAGUUGUUGGGGACUUCAUUUCCUUAGUAACGUAGCUAACGCGUGAAGUUGACCGCCUGGGGAGUACGGUCGCAAGAUUAAAACUCAAAGGAAUUGAC
rnacentral:rRNA from 1 species